UCAGGCUGUCAUGUAAUCAACAUCCUAAUACUCUUCUCUUUCAUAUUUUUAGAUGUCUGUCAACUUGGUAUCUGAGCACAGUUGUGAAGAAACAGAGAGUUCAAGGCAACUGGCUUUUUUUUUCUUGUCCCUGCCUCAGACAAAAUAAAAUAAGAGACUUCAGCAGCUGCAUGGAUUUUCAUGGCACAGGUGCAUCCUGACUGUGAAGCAGGCUUUCAGAGCCUCCACUGCACAGGGUGGAGUCUCGUUGUGGUUAGUGGAUUCCUGGGACAAAAGCACCUUUGUUUAUGAAACAAUUACUCAGCUCCUCCAGGUUGUUCAUGUGUUAAAAAAACAAGAGACAGCCUGUCAGUUAUCUGACUCAGAUUUUACUUGGGGUCCAGUUGCUGCCACCCAUGGAGCAUGUUCUCAAAUUGCAAGUCCCUCUUUAUGGCAUAGUUCCUUGUGCCACUAAAAAGGAUGCUUGAUAUUUCAGAGCAAAGAGAAAAAAUAUAAAACAGGAUGGUUCGUGCUGCUUAUUCUCAGUGGAGAUAGAGAUACAGAGGUAAACAAUUUUUCAGGUAAGUCUUGUACAUGUUCUCAUUUCAUACAUGGUAGUAUCCUUAAAAUAAAUAUUAGUUUCCCGCUAUCCA
rnacentral:lncRNA from 1 species